AGAGUUUGAUCAUGGCUCAGAUUGAACGCUGGCGGCAGGCCUAACACAUGCAAGUCGAGCGCGAAAGCACUUCGGUGUGAGUAGAGCGGCGGACGGGUGAGUAAUGCUUGGGAAUCUACCUAGUAGUGGGGGACAACGUGUGGAAACGCACGCUAAUACCGCAUACGUCCUACGGGAGAAAGCAGGGGACCUUCGGGCCUUGCGCUAUUAGAUGAGCCCAAGUCGGAUUAGCUAGUUGGUGGGGUAAUGGCUCACCAAGGCUACGAUCCGUAGCUGGUCUGAGAGGAUGAUCAGCCACACUGGGACUGAGACACAGCCCAGACUCCUACGGGAGGCAGCAGUGGGGAAUAUUGCACAAUGGGCGAAAGCCUGAUGCAGCCAUGCCGCGUGUGUGAAGAAGGCUCUAGGGUUGUAAAGCACUUUCAGUAGGGAGGAAAAGCAUAUAGUUAAUAACUGUAUGCCGUGACGUUACCUACAGAAGAAGCACCGGCAAACUCCGUGCCAGCAGCCGCGGUAAUACGGAGGGUGCGAGCGUUAAUCGGAAUUACUGGGCGUAAAGCGCACGUAGGUGGUUUGAUAAGCUAGCUGUGAAAGCCCCGGGCUCAA
rnacentral:rRNA from 1 species